CAAACUGUUGCAGAAGUACAUUGAAGCAAAUAAGUUCAAAAGGGCAUAACUCCUAGAAAAAAAAUUGAAUCGUAAUUUCCUGUUGAUAUGCACAUCUACGUAGUAUGUCCUUAUCUGAAAAGGUUUUGAAUCUGUUGUGUGGUUUGAGAGGAGUUGCGAUGACAAACUGUUGCAGUGUACAUUAAAGUAAAUAGUUCAAAGGGGCGUAACUCCUAGAAAAAAAUUGAAUCGCAAUUUCCCGUCGAUAUGCACAACUACAUAGUAUGUCCUUAUUAUCUGAAAAGGUUUCGUGAAAUUCUGUUGUGUGGUUUGAGAGGAGUUGCGAUGACAAACUGUUGCAGUAGUACAUUAAAGUAAAUAAGUUCAAAGGGGCGUAACUCCUAGAAAAAAAAAUUGAAUCGCAAUUUUCCGUCGAUAUGCACAACUACAUAGUAUGUCCUUAUUAUCUGAAAAGGUUUUGUGAAAUUCUGUUGUGUGGUUUGAGAGGAGUUGCGAUGACAAACUGUUGCAGUAGUACAUUAAAGUAAAUAAGUUCAAAGGGGCGUAACUCCUAGAAAAAAAUUGAAUCGCAAUUUC
rnacentral:lncRNA from 1 species